AAAGACUCCAAUCAUGAAAUAACAAAACAUGUUGAUUCUAAACAAUCAUAUAUUAUAGUAUAUAUUUCGAUACAAGGUGAAAUGACACAAAGUUUCAAACACUGAUAUGACAUUACUGUUUAACAUAUAUAAUGUUCGUUGCCUUUUUGAUUUUAUAUAUUAGAAUCUGAACCUAUAUAUUAUUUACAUUUAAAACUAUGACAAUAGACAAUACGUUUAUUUCGUCGUGCCAGAAAUCACAACACAAGUUCACAACAGAUAAAAAAUUAUGCAUUACAGUAACAGAUUUCAUUGCAAUUGACAGGAAAUCGCGAAGGACCAGAAAUGGUCAUCAUAGGUCAGCGACACUUAGAUUUAAGACGAGUAAAAAGUUAAAAUUACAAUUAAAGAAAGCAAUGGAUACAAAGAGAAACUUAGUCAUUCCAAAAAAUUACCAACAAAACAGGGAGUGAUAUAAAUAUUCAUAUACGGUAGCAUUUGGGAGAGAGAAAUAAAACAUAAGGCGGGAAAAUUCAGUGAUUAAUUUUUUUUUAUCUUCGUUCAUUUCGUCAUGCAGGAAAUAAUACACAAAUUCAAGGCACAGCUUAUACAAUACAGAAACGGAUUUAGUCGCAAUUUAAAAGCAGGUGGCUUUCAUCGCAAGAAACAGAAGGGGUCAUCAUAAGUCUGCGACACCAACAUUUGAAAUGAAUCAAAAAUUGAAAUAAUAAAAAAAGGUACGAAUGUGAAAGCAGAAAUCAUACUCCAUGUACAUCCAACAUAUAAGAUUUGAAAGUGAAAAGAGAAAAUGAUGCAGUUUAAAUCUGACUGUGAAAUAGGAAAAACAGUCUCGGUGAACUUAUUGCCACCAACUAACAAAUGUCAGCCGGGCCAUCAAAAAUCCAGAGAACAGAAACAUAUUCAAGCCUUAUAAGUCUAAAGAUGGUGAUUAUACAAUCACAAAAAGAGCUGUGGCGAAGUUCAAACAAAGUGUACCCUUGCUAAGAAUUCUUGGUUGGGAAAGUUGAAUUGUGUUCUCAUGUUGUUGCAAUAUAUUUUGAACCUACUUAUGUUGGGAAUUCUAAAUUAAGCAAAAAAUAUUAUUGUUUUCAAAUUUGAAUAAAGAAAUUGUUUCUUUUUUAUUAAUGCUGUUGCAACUAAAGCCAGUGUAAUAAGACCAGAUCCCAAUUUAUUGUAAAUUUGAGACAUAACUUUCUUCAAAAAAUUAAGUCUACCUUCAAAUUUCCAAUGCCAUUCACUUUUUUUUCUUGCAUACCACUAUUAUUCCAAUUUAUACAAAUCAAUUUAUGUAAAAUUUCAUUUUUAAUAAAAAUAAAAAAUAUCAUAAUUGUUGUUGAGUGUUCGAGGGGUGCGAGUUUGACAUCCUCUGGUCUACCGUGCUGAGAAUGCAUCCAAAUGAUAUCCAGGCUUCAGCCCCGAUCAUCUAUUAAACAAAUUCCACAUCCAGUAGGGCAUUUAUGCAGAGUCCCAACAACUUGGGGGAUCAUUCCUUUUCCUAAUUUUCAAUUGUAAUCUUCUUAUUAAAACAUGAUUGGUACCUAAUCAAGGGUGAAAUUUCCUUUCUUGAUAGCUGCUUUCUCCCUCCAUAUAGUUACAUUCUUUUGCAGUUCAUUACAAUAUACAAUACAAUUUUAUUUCGAUUACUCUUACUUUGCAAAGUACUUCAUUUCAUAGAUAGCUCUUAGGUAUGUAAUCCU